CCUACGAGUGGCAGCAGUGAGGAAUAUUGGUCAAUGGCCGGAAGGCUGAACCAGCCAUGCCGCGUGAAGGUCAGUGCCCUAUGGGCGUUAAACUUCUUUUGUGCGGGAGCAAUAAUGGUCACGUGUGGCCCGACGAGAGUACCGUACGAAUAAGCAUCGGCUAACUCCGUGCCAGCAGCCGCGGUAAUACGGGGGAUGCAAGCGUUAUCCGGAUUUAUUGGGUUUAAAGGGUGCAUAGGCUGUGAGGUAAGUCAGCGGUGAAAUGCCCCCGCUCAACGGGGGUAAGGGCCAUUGAUACUGCCGUGCUGGAAUGCGGAUGCCGUGGGAGGAAUGUGUGGUGUAGCGGUGAAAUGCAUAGAUAUCACACAGAACACCGAUUGCGAAGGCAUCUCACGAAUCCGCGAUUGACGCUGAUGCACGAAAGCGUGGGUAUCAAACAGGAUUAGAUACCCGUGUAGUC
rnacentral:rRNA from 1 species